CUCAGUAACGCGNANNNNNNNNNACCUAUGGACGGGGAUAAUCUCGGGAAACUGAGCAUAAUACCCGAUAGAACAUUAUGCCUGGAAUGGUUUAUGUUCCAAAUGAUUUAUUGCCGUAGGAUGGGACUGCGGCCUAUCAGUUUGUUGGUGAGGUAAUGGCCCACCAAGACUAUUACAGGUACGGGCUCUGAGAGGAGUAGCCCGGAGAUGGGUACUGAGACACGGACCCAGGCCCUAUGGGGCGCAGCAGGCGAGAAAACUUUGCAAUGUGCGAAAGCACGACAAGGUUAAUCCGAGUGGUUUCUGCUAAAGGAACCUUUUGACAGUCCUAGAAACACUGUUGAAUAAGGGGUGGGCAAGUUCUGGUGUCAGCCGCCGCGGUAAAACCAGCACCUCAAGUGGUCAGGAUGAUUAUUGGGCCUAAAGCAUCCGUAGCCGGCUCUGUAAGUUUUCGGNUAAAUCUAUAUGCUCAACAUAUANNCUGNCGGGAAAACUGCANAGCUAGGGAGNGGGAGAGGUANANGGUACUCGGUAGGAAGGGGUAAA
rnacentral:rRNA from 1 species